rnacentral:rRNA from 1 species
UACGAAGGGGGCUAGCGUUGUUCGGAAUAACUGGGCGUAAAGCGCAUGUAGGCGGAUUUUUAAGUCAGAGGUGAAAUCCCAGGGCUCAACCCCGGCAUUGCCUUUGAUACUGGAGAUCUGGAGUCUGGGAGAGGGGAGUGGAAUUCCGAGUGUAGAGGUGAAAUUCGUAGAUAUUCGGAGGAACACCAGUGGCGAAGGCGACUCACUGGCCUGUAACUGACGCUGAGACGCGAAAGCGUGGGGAGCAAACAGG